CCUCUCCUCACAUCGCCACAUGCAACCAUGCCCAAACCCUUUUUCAUCUCCCUCACGCACCGCUUUGCCCCGAUCUUCUUCUUCUCCCCUUUGAUCCGAUCUUCUUCUCCUGAUCUCGAUGAUACCUCUUCUUCUUGUCUCCUCUGCGCGCCUUCUCCACCAGAUCCACCAUCAUCGGUGUCGAGAGCUACCACCCGAGCGCCACCGGAGGGGCAUCUCGUUAUUGUUGGCUGGGAGAGAGAGAUCGCCACUGCCCGAGCCGAUGCCGCUGAUCUCAUCUCCCUCCUCCUCUCGAUCUGGCGAUGCCGGCCAACCAUCAGACGUCGUCAGCCUUGUUGAUGGCUACCUCGAUCACCGAGAGCAGCGCUGCUGUGAACGCCAGAUUGUCUGGCAUAGCCGAUCCCUCGUUGAUGCCGAGCCCUAGCUUUGGGCAACACCACCAUCACCUUCAACCGAGCCUCUUCCCAUCGGUCGAUUGCCUAAUGCCGUUCCCUGGCUGCAGCCACCAAAUCCUUACCUUCAGUCGCCAAUCCAGCUUCAAGAUCGGUGUUGGACUUGAAUCCCUGGUCCGAUAAGAAAUUUCUAACCAGGCUGAGUUGAUCCGACAAUGUGACCGAAAGGUAGCAGAUAAAGGAAUUAUGGAGUCGCUUGGAGGCCCUGUUCGCCAGUCCCAUGUCACAUCUGAGGACGAUCUUCUGGUUUUGGUUUCCUUUGCUAUUUGUGUUUGGUUUUGUGAUCUUUGUAUUGUAAUAAUUCGAUGUCAACUUGGAGUUUUGUGUUAUGGUAUCUUGUAUUGGUUUGGUAAUGUUGUGUCAAUCUGAGCUGGCUCGCAGUAGUGUUUUGUUCAUUUCAUGUUCGUUAUUUUGUGAUUUCCGCUGUACUAUAUUUCAGCCGAGUGGGCUGCAUUAUUAACUGCGUGGUUAUGCUAUGUU